CUGAUGGGGUAGGAUGGACCGGGGCCAUGGUUGGGGGUUGGGGGUCAGUUAAGGAAGACGUCAUGGAGGAGGUGGGUUUAUUCUAAGGGGCGUAGAGGGAGGGAGGAACGUGGUUGGCAGAUUUGUUGGCAGGGGGAGUUCCAGGCAGGGAAAGAGGGUGAGCAGUGAUUUGGAGAUGAGAGUCGCAAAUGAGGAAGAAUUAGAUGAUGCACUGGGGAGGAGCACAGAGAAGGAGCCGGGCCAGACUGGGAGAACGGAGCCGUGACUAAGGGGGGGAACGGUUGGCGGAGAGCCUGGAAGCUGAAGCCUUUUGGAGGGAAGGGGGUUAGGACAGUGGGUGUCCCGUGGUGAGGACCUCCCUUCCCCUUCCCGUGGCACAGAAGAGCCAGGGCGGUUACGAAGAAUGAGCCCAAGAAAGGGGCUGCCCCCUCCCCCACCCCCUUCAGAACCCUGGGCUUUAUUUCCUAGGCAAACGGUCAGGGGGACGGGUGUCCAGUGAGACCUCUGACCUCUCCCCCGGGCCCCAUCCCCUCCUCUCCCAGGCACGGCUCCGGAAAGGAUGUCGGGGCCGAGGUGAGCGUUCCCCACGGGGGUGGUGGUCACAGGGUCCCGCUGACAGUCCGCACUUGAACGACGCUCCUUCUCCACGGGGAGUCCAGGCCCAGAGUAGGGAAGGGAUCGGUUCAAGGUCAAACGAUAAGGUGCCCACGAGAGGCCAUCAGCGCCCUUACCCAUGAGAACUUUCCUUGUCAGUAAUCAGUCUCGGGGACAGAAAUCACCUCGGCUCCCGGUUAAAAGGGUCGCGCGUGGAACUGGCAAUGUGGAUCUGCCUGAGGGGACCCCGGACAGGAGACCUCAAUCCUGACGGCAUCGUCCGGUAGGGGAGGCCCCCAUCCCACCUCAGUUCCUCGGGCGCCAGAAGCCUCUGGCUCCUUGCCCUACUUUGACCCCGGGACUGACUUUCCGGCCACCAACCUGGGCCCCCCAAAAGCCCAGGCUGUAGAAAGUCGGCGUGCCCCCCGCCCCCGAGACCAAACAGCUGGCAGGGUGCCCGGGUGUGUAGCGGGGAGAGGGCGGAGCGUCACUGGGGCAGCCUCUUCGCCCAGCCGCGACCCGCUCCCCAGCAGGAAAACAGUUAAAAUCACCGGACGUUCUCAGGCUCUUCCAGCUGAGGAUUCGGAAAUCUCCGGCGGGAUUAAAUUCCCCUCAACGGCUAACGCAAACCAGAGCCCUUCACCCGAGCAUUCCCGCCCCUCAGCAGGCCGCCGGGCCUCUCCAUCCGGGCCCCGCCGGGCCCCGACCCCGGGGGGGGAGGGAAGCAGAAACGGGCGAUCGGGGAGGAGAAAGGACGGGACUCACCCGGGAGGAGCCUCCAUCGGAACCAGGCGAGGCAAGGCUCUGGCCUGGGCUGCUCUGAUUUCCUCCUGGCCGAGAGGCUAUUACUAUUAUUUCUACCGAUCGCCGGGAUGGUGGAAAGUAUGGGAAGCAGGACGGAACGGCCAGCACCCAGACAUCAGCUGUCAAUCGUGUGAACUCCUGGAUCAACCCGGAUCCACACGUGAGGAAACUCUACGACCGACUGGCUCCCUGAUCUCCCAUCCUAACAUUUUCAGAUCAACAGGGGGUGACGUGAGUUGGCCAAAGCGAUUCUAUAGCGUCCUGCCUGGUCUGGUCCGGGCCCUCAAAUCCCCAGCCCUUGCGGUCCGAUCAGGUGGACGCAAAGAUAAACUUACUUGUGUUUCGGCUGGGUUCGGAUACUUCCUCAGCUGCCCCUGCAGGCCCACCUUCCUAACUCUUUUGAACUGGGCGGUACAGCAACUGGAGUGAUGACAGGCUGAAAGAGAAGCCUGGCUUGAGACAAAGGGAGACAGGCCUCAUUCCUGGGGCGUGCUAUCAAACAGGUGGGUGACCUUGCCCGGGUUCAGUUGUCUCCUGGGCAGGUGGGACUAUAACGCCCGGCGGCCCUGAGCAACGGGUGCCGAGAAACGAGAUCUGGGCCCUACCGGUGCCGCUGGGACUCGUUUCUGGUCCGGCUCGGUCCCAAGCUGGACUUUGAAUAUCAACCAAUUCAAGAGGGCCUGGAGGUCUGUGAUGAGGGGGAGUCAGGGAUGGAGAAGACAGAGUCAGGAGGGUUGGAUGAUGGUCCAUCCCAAGCCGGGAAGGAAGUCAGGGAUGGACACAAUUCCCCCCAACUUUCCCGGUGUCGCUGUUAGAGACAGAAUCCCGGGAUAAACGGACCCAGGGCUGAAGGGGGGGAGGGGGGGCAUUACCGAGGGCCCAGCAGAGGUCCGGAAGAAGGUGGGGAGGGAGUGAUAUUUCAAAUCCCUGACAGGGUUAUAGCAGCAGUUAAGCAGCAGGAAGCGUCUUAUCAGAUCUUAAUUUUUUUUUUCCCCAAGCUCCCCACGAAGGAGUGUCUGAAGAAUGUUCUUGUGCAUCUGCCUCUCUGAAUUGGCAGUGAGGAGCCGGGAGAAGCAGCCGGGGAAGCGGAAUGCAGAGCCAACAGUCCCCCCCAUCUCUUUUAUUUCUGCCUCCAGCUCCCCCCGGCCCCGUUUCCCCCUCUCUUCCCUUCUUGCUGUUUCCCCCAGCUCUCCCCUCGCUUCUCCCCCUCCUUCUCCAUUCCUGUCUCUGUCUUUUCCACUUUGCCUUCCUCCUAACCCCAAUUCCCCCCCUCCCAUUUUGCAAAAGAAGCAUGGAGUAGCGAUGAUGACGAGGACAAUGAUGAGGGUAUUUGUUAAGCGCUUACUAUGUGCCAGGCACUGUUCUAAGCACUGAUGGAGCACGGGCCUGGGAGUCAGCACGUCAUGGGUUCUAAUCCCGGUUCUUUCCCUUAGCUGUGUGACCUUGGGCAAGUCACUCGACAGCAUGGUUCAGUGGAAAGAGCACGGGCUUAGGAGUCAGGGGUCAUGGGUUCUAAUCCCCACUGCCACCUGUGUGACUUGGAACACUUCUCGGUGCCUCAGUUCCUUCAUCUAUAAAAUGAGGAUGAAGACCGUGAGUCUCAGGUGGGUCAACCUGAUUACCCUGUAUCUACCCCAGCGCUCAGAACAGUGCUCGGCACCAAGUAAAUGCUUAAAACAUACCAACCGACAUUAUUAUUAUUACUGGACGUCUCUUCAACCUGUUACCUCAUCAGUAAAAUGGGGAUGAAGACCGUGAGCCUCACGUGGGCCAACCUGACUACCCCGUAUCUCCCCCAGCGCUUAGAACAGAGCUUGGCACCUAGUAAGUGCUUAACAACUACCAACCAACAUUAUAUUAUUAUUACUUGACGUCCCUUCGACUCAAGUUGCCUCAUCCCUAAAACUGUAAGCCCGUCACUGGGCAGGGAUGGUCUCUACCUGUUGCCGAAUUGUCUAUUUAAUGUUGGUAUUUGUUAAGCGCUUCCUAUGUGCAGAGCGCUGUUCCAAGCGCUGGGGUCGAUACAGGUAAUCAGGUUGUCCCACGUGGGGCUCCCAGUCUUCAUCCCCAUUUUACAGCUGAGGCCACUGAGGCCCAGAGAAGUGAAGUGACUCACCCACAGUCCCCCAGCUGACAAGUGGCAGAGCUGGGAUUCGAACCCCCGACCUCUGACUCCCAAGCCCGUGCUCUUCCCACUGAGCCAUGCCGCCCACUAUAUUCCAAGCGCUCCGUGCGGUGCUCUGCACGUUAUAAGCGCUCCAUAAAUACUAUUAAGUGAAUAAUAAUAAUAAGGUUGGUAUUUGUUAAGCGCUUACUAUGUGCCGAGCACUGUUCUAAGCGCUGGGGUAGACACAGGGUCAUCAGGUGGUCCCCCAUGAGGCUCCCAGUCUUCAUCCCCAUUUUCCAGAUGAGGUCACGGAGGCCCAGCGAAGUGAAGUGACUUGCCCACAGUCCCCCAGCUGACAAGGGGCAGAGCUGGGAUUCGAGCCCACGACCUCUGCCUCCAAAGCCCGGGCUCUUUCCACCGAG
rnacentral:lncRNA from 1 species